rnacentral:rRNA from 1 species
CAAUAGCGUAUACUAAAGUUGUUGCAGUUAAAAAGCUCGUAGUUGGAUUUCUAAUCUCUCUUGUGGUUCCUUUUCUAAAGAAAUGUGCGACUAUUCAAGAGAGAUUAUCCUCGUGCCUAGCUUUUCUCACUUUUAUUAGUGGGGAAAGGGACGCACGUCAUUUACUGUGAGCAAAAUAGAGUGUUCAAAGCAGGCUUAGGCCAUGAAUAUAUUAGCAUGGAAUAAUAAGAUAGGACCUUGGUCUAUUUUGUUGGUUUACAUUCCAAGGUAAUGAUUAAUAGGGAUAGUUGGGGGUAUUCGUAUUCAAUUGUCAGAGGUGAAAUUCUUGGAUUUAUGGAAGACGAACUACUGCGAAAGCAUUUACCAAGGAUGUUUUCAUUGAUCAAGAACGAAAGUUAGGGGAUCGAAGACGAUCAGAUACCAU